rnacentral:rRNA from 1 species
UACGGGGGGGGCAAGCGUUGUUCGGAAUUACUGGGCGUAAAGGGCGUGUAGGCGGCCAACUAAGUCCGACGUGAAAUCCCCAGGCUUAACCUGGGAACUGCGUCGGAUACUGGAUGGCUCGAAUCCGGGAGAGGGAUGCAGAAUUCCAGGUGUAGCGGUGAAAUGCGUAGAUAUCUGGAGGAAUACCGGUGGCGAAGGCGGCAUCCUGGACCGGCAUUGACGCUGAAGCGCGAAAGCUAGGGGAGCAAACAGG